UACGUAGGGUGCAAGCGUUAAUCGGAAUUACUGGGCGUAAAGCGUGCGCAGGCGGCUAUGCAAGACAGAUGUGAAAUCCCCGGGCUUAACCUGGGAAUGGCAUUUGGGACUGCAAGGCUGGAGUACGGCAGAGGAGACUGGAAUUCCUGGUGUAGCAGUGAAAUGCGUAGAGAUCAGGAGGAAUACCGAUGGCGAAGGCAGGUCUCUGGGCUGAUACUGACGCUCAUGCACGAAAGCGUGGGGAGCAAACAGG
rnacentral:rRNA from 1 species